GAUGAACGCUGGCGGCGUGCCUAAUACAUGCAAGUCGAACGGACGGACGAUGAGCUUGCUUCUCUGACGUUAGCGGCGCGGGGGUGAGUAACAUGUGUAUACCCUACCUAUAAGACUGGGAUAACUUCGGGAAACCGGAGCUAAUACCGGAUAAUAUUCUGAACCGCAUGGUUCAAAAGUGAAAGACGGUCUUGCUGUCACUUAUAGAUGGAUCCGCGCUGCAUUAGCUAGUUGGUAAGGUAACGGCUUACCAAGGCAACGAUGCAUAGACGACCUGAGAGGGUGAUCGGCCACACGGGAACUGGGACACGGUCCAGACUCCUACGGGAGGCAGCAGUAGGGAAUCUUCCGCAAUGGGCGAGAGCCUGACGCAGCAACGCCGCGUGAGUGAUGAAGGUCUUCGGAUCGUAAAGCUCUGUUAUGAGGGAAGAACAUAUGUGUAAGUAACUGUGCACAUAUUGACGGUACCGAAUCAGAAAGCACCGGCUAACUACGUG
rnacentral:rRNA from 1 species